rnacentral:rRNA from 4 species
GAGUUUGAUCCUGGCUCAGGAUGAACGCUGGCGGCGUGCCUAAUACAUGCAAGUCGAGCGAACGGACGAGAAGCUUGCUUCUCUGAUGUUAGCGGCGGACGGGUGAGUAACACGUGGAUAACCUACCUAUAAGACUGGGAUAACUUCGGGAAACCGGAGCUAAUACCGGAUAAUAUUUUGAACCGCAUGGUUCAAAAGUAAAAGACGGUCUUGCUGUCACUUAUAGAUGGAUCCGCGCUGCAUUAGCUAGUUGGUAAGGUAACGGCUUACCAAGGCAACGAUGCAUAGCCGACCUGAGAGGGUGAUCGGCCACACUGGAACUGAGACACGGUCCAGACUCCUACGGGAGGCAGCAGUAGGGAAUCUUCCGCAAUGGGCGAAAGCCUGACGGAGCAACGCCGCGUGAGUGAUGAAGGUCUUCGGAUCGUAAAACUCUGUUAUUAGGGAAGAACAUAUGUGUAAGUAACUGUGCACAUCUUGACGGUACCUAAUCAGAAAGCCACGGCUAACUACGUGCCAGCAGCCGCGGUAAUACGUAGGUGGCAAGCGUUAUCCGGAAUUAUUGGGCGUAAAGCGCGCGUAGGCGGUUUUUUAAGUCUGAUGUGAAAGCCCACGGCUCAACCGUGGAGGGUCAUUGGAAACUGGAAAACUUGAGUGCAGAAGAGGAAAGUGGAAUUCCAUGUGUAGCGGUGAAAUGCGCAGAGAUAUGGAGGAACACCAGUGGCGAAGGCGACUUUCUGGUCUGUAACUGACGCUGAUGUGCGAAAGCGUGGGGAUCAAACAGGAUUAGAUACCCUGGUAGUCCACGCCGUAAACGAUGAGUGCUAAGUGUUAGGGGGUUUCCGCCCCUUAGUGCUGCAGCUAACGCAUUAAGCACUCCGCCUGGGGAGUACGACCGCAAGGUUGAAACUCAAAGGAAUUGACGGGGACCCGCACAAGCGGUGGAGCAUGUGGUUUAAUUCGAAGCAACGCGAAGAACCUUACCAAAUCUUGACAUCCUUUGACAACUCUAGAGAUAGAGCCUUCCCCUUCGGGGGACAAAGUGACAGGUGGUGCAUGGUUGUCGUCAGCUCGUGUCGUGAGAUGUUGGGUUAAGUCCCGCAACGAGCGCAACCCUUAAGCUUAGUUGCCAUCAUUAAGUUGGGCACUCUAAGUUGACUGCCGGUGACAAACCGGAGGAAGGUGGGGAUGACGUCAAAUCAUCAUGCCCCUUAUGAUUUGGGCUACACACGUGCUACAAUGGACAAUACAAAGGGCAGCGAAACCGCGAGGUCAAGCAAAUCCCAUAAAGUUGUUCUCAGUUCGGAUUGUAGUCUGCAACUCGACUACAUGAAGCUGGAAUCGCUAGUAAUCGUAGAUCAGCAUGCUACGGUGAAUACGUUCCCGGGUCUUGUACACACCGCCCGUCACACCACGAGAGUUUGUAACACCCGAAGCCGGUGGAGUAACCUUUUAGGAGCUAGCCGUCGAAGGUGGGACAAAUGAUUGGGGUGAAGUCGUAACAAGGUAGCCGUAUCGGAAGGUGCGGCUGGAUCACC